rnacentral:rRNA from 1 species
AUGAACGCUAGCUACAGGCUUAACACAUGCAAGUCGAGGGGCAUCAGGAAGAAAGCUUGCUUUCUUUGCUGGCGACCGGCGCACGGGUGAGUAACACGUAUCCAACCUGCCCUUUACUCGGGGAUAGCCUUUCGAAAGAAAGAUUAAUACCCGAUAGCAUAAUGAUUCCGCAUGGUUUCAUUAUUAAAGGAUUCCGGUAAAGGAUGGGGAUGCGUUCCAUUAGGUUGUUGGUGAGGUAACGGCCCACCAAGCCUUCGAUGGAUAGGGGUUCUGAGAGGAAGGUCCCCCACAUUGGAACUGAGACACGGUCCAAACUCCUACGGGAGGCAGCAGUGAGGAAUAUUGGUCAAUGGGCGCUAGCCUGAACCAGCCAAGUAGCGUGAAGGAUGAAGGCUCUAUGGGUCGUAAACUUCUUUUAUAUAAGAAUAAAGUGCAGUAUGUAUACUGUUUUGUAUGUAUUAUAUGAAUAAGGAUCGGCUAACUCCGUGCCAGCAGCCGCGGUAAUACGGAGGAUCCGAGCGUUAUCCGGAUUUAUUGGGUUUAAAGGGAGCGUAGGUGGACUGGUAAGUCAGUUGUGAAAGUUUGCGGCUCAACCGUAAAAUUGCAGUUGAUACUGUCAGUCUUGAGUACAGUAGAGGUGGGCGGAAUUCGUGGUGUAGCGGUGAAAUGCUUAGAUAUCACGAAGAACUCCGAUUGCGAAGGCAGCUCACUGGACUGCAACUGACACUGAUGCUCGAAAGUGUGGGUAUCAAACAGGAUUAGAUACCCUGGUAGUCCACACAGUAAACGAUGAAUACUCGCUGUUUGCGAUAUACAGUAAGCGGCCAAGCGAAAGCAUUAAGUAUUCCACCUGGGGAGUACGCCGGCAACGGUGAAACUCAAAGGAAUUGACGGGGGCCCGCACAAGCGGAGGAACAUGUGGUUUAAUUCGAUGAUACGCGAGGAACCUUACCCGGGCUUAAAUUGCAGUGGAAUGAUGUGGAAACAUGUCAGUGAGCAAUCACCGCUGUGAAGGUGCUGCAUGGUUGUCGUCAGCUCGUGCCGUGAGGUGUCGGCUUAAGUGCCAUAACGAGCGCAACCCUUAUCUUUAGUUACUAACAGGUUAUGCUGAGGACUCUAGAGAGACUGCCGUCGUAAGAUGUGAGGAAGGUGGGGAUGACGUCAAAUCAGCACGGCCCUUACGUCCGGGGCUACACACGUGUUACAAUGGGGGGGACAGAAGGCAGCUAGCGGGUGACCGUAUGCUAAUCCCAAAAUCCUCUCUCAGUUCGGAUCGAAGUCUGCAACCCGACUUCGUGAAGCUGGAUUCGCUAGUAAUCGCGCAUCAGCCACGGCGCGGUGAAUACGUUCCCGGGCCUUGUACACACCGCCCGUCAAGCCAUGGGAGCCGGGGGUAUCUGAAGUACGUAACCGCAAGGAUCGUCCUAGGGUAAAACUGGUGACUGGGGCU